rnacentral:rRNA from 1 species
UACGUAGGGUGCAAGCGUUAUCCGGAAUUAUUGGGCGUAAAGAGCUCGUAGGCGGUUUGUCGCGUCUGCUGUGAAAAUCCGGGGCUCAACCCCGGACUUGCAGUGGGUACGGGCAGACUAGAGUGUGGUAGGGGAGACUGGAAUUCCUGGUGUAGCGGUGAAAUGCGCAGAUAUCAGGAGGAACACCGGUGGCGAAGGCGGGUCUCUGGG